rnacentral:lncRNA from 1 species
UUUGUUCUUGUACAAGGGCACCACUGUACUCCACCUCCACUCAUCCGGCAUCCUUUUGGUCCUGAAGAUCGCAUUGAACAACUUGGAGAGCCACUCCAUUGCUGACCUACCCAUGCACUUCCAGAACUCCACCGGAUCUCGUCAGGCCUGGUCGCUUGACCCCUACUCGUCUUACGCAAAGCCCCAUGACUUCCUCCGCCCUAAUGCGCCUGCAGUACCCAAGGUCUCUAUGUUGCUCUGAAUG